rnacentral:rRNA from 1 species
UACAGAGGUCUCAAGCGUUGUUCGGAUUUAUUGGGCGUAAAGGGUGUGUAGGUGGCGCGCUAAGUCGGGUGUGAAAUUUCGGAGCUUAACUCCGAAACUGCAUUCGAUACUGGCGUGCUUGAGGACUGGAGAGGAGACUGGAAUUCAUGGUGUAGCAGUGAAAUGCGUAGAGAUCAUGAGGAAGACCAGUGGCGAAGGCGGGUCUCUGGACAGUUCCUGACACUGAGACACGAAGGCCAGGGGAGCAAACGGG